GUACUCCACCACGAGCAGCGAAAGCACGCUCAACCAAUCCUCACUCGAUGGCUUUGUCCUUGAAAGAAAGCCAAACCACUCGCAGAUGGAUUUUUUUCUACCUUUACAGCUCACUCUGUCAGUCCAUUAACGCCACCCAUAUCAUGA
rnacentral:rRNA from 1 species